rnacentral:misc_RNA from 1 species
UGACUGCGCCAGCCUCGGCAC